UCUUGUGGGUGACCAAAGAAAGUGGUUUCUCAAGAUAAAAUCUAUUUCUGGUGAAGAUGCUGUGAA
rnacentral:pre_miRNA from 1 species